CACGCGCCUGCAUUUACUGACAUCGCCGCUUACGGUGGCGUGAAAGAUUGAGUACAUUUCCUUUGUGACGUGAUUUUCUUCCGUAUUGGAUAAAGUGCCGUUUGAAGUGUGCCAAUUUUGCAAGGCAACGCCCGUUUUUCGGACCUUCAUCGAGAUCGAAGAUCGUGAGGAGCGAUGCAAGAUCAUAUCGCAGGUAAACGCGACGAUACCAGCGUGUCAGUGAGCCGGCUUGCUUCGCUUCCGGUUUUGAUCUUCACAUUGAUGACAUCGAAUAUCAGCUAUUCGUGCCUAGGAAACGUCAACAGUGCUGAAUAUGCCGUGCAAAGAAAGUUCCACCAUAUUUUAUCUAACGUGGUGACAAAGAAGUACUGUUGGGCCACUGAGAAUGAUUUUUUAUUUGAAUCUUUGGCAAAUGUGUUGCUGUACCUGCUCGGUGAGUGUCAACACAAAAAAAACUUGUUUCUCGCUCUAGCUUUUGCUGACAGAGUGAAAAAAAAACACUGCGCGGAAACGACAGGAAGGAAAAGAGGAGACAGAACAAAGCAUUGACUUACAACAAUUUUUUAUUUAGGAAUGCGAACACAUUGAUAUCGUAGCAGGCAGAAGACAUGUUACUACCACAAUAUCGAAAUUGUCGCUGUAACGUUGUCACAGAA